AUUGAACGCUGGCGGCAGGCCUAACACAUGCAAGUCGAACGAGUGGCGGACGGGUGAGUCAUGACUGGGCAACUGCCUGCGGGAGGGGGAUAACUACUGGAAACGAUAGCUGAUAACGCACACCUUCGGAUGUGCCCAGAUGGGAUUGGCUGGUAGGUGGGGUAAAGGCUCACCUAGGUGACGAUCCCUAGCUGGUCUGAGAGGAUGACCAGUCAAACGGGAACUGAGACACGGUCCAGACUCCUACGGGAGGCAGCAGUGGGAAAUAGUGCACAAUGGGCGCAAGCCUGAUGCAGCCAUGCCGCGGGUAUGAAGAAGGCCUUCGGGUUGUAAAGUACUUUCAGCGGGGAGGCGUUACCCGCAGAAGAAGCACCGGCUAACUCCGUGCCAGCAGCCGCGGUAAUAC
rnacentral:rRNA from 1 species